CUUGAGCGAGCCCAGCCACAGGGGCUCGCCGGCGCGGUCGCGCCCGUAGACGGCGGUGAGCGCGUUCGCCUC
rnacentral:antisense_RNA from 1 species